UUUAUACUCCCUCCAUCCGGAAAUACUUAUCAUCAAAAUGGAUAAAAGGAGAUGUAUCUAGAUGUAUUUUAGUUCUAGAUACAUCUCUUUUUUAUCCAUUUUGAUGACAAGUAUUUUUGAACGGAGGGAAUAAUAA
rfam:Triticum aestivum genome assembly, contig: Triticum_aestivum_CS42_TGACv1_scaffold_405834_5BL